UACGUAGGUGGCAAGCGUUGUCCGGAUUUACUGGGCGUAAAGAGCGCGCAGGCGGUCGUUCAAGUCGCGUGUGAAAGCCCCCGGCUCAACUGGGGAGGGUCACGCGAUACUGAUCGACUCGAAGGCAGGAGAGGGUAGUGGAAUUCCCGGUGUAGUGGUGAAAUGCGUAGAUAUCGGGAGGAACACCAGUGGCGAAGGCGACUACCUGGCCUGUUCUUGACGCUGAGGAGCGAAAGCGUGGGGAGCGAUCCGG
rnacentral:rRNA from 1 species